rnacentral:lncRNA from 1 species
UUAGCAAAUCAUGUAGAUGCACCUCCCACUCCACUUUCUUAUAAGUGCUUCUCAAAUUGAAGAAAAAGGAAGAUCCUAAACUCUAAAAUUGAACCGAACCUUUUGAUUUCCUCGUCAGAUUGCAUGCGUGAGCAUAAACAUCCGGCCCAUGCAUCUAAAUACUACUAAACUCCUAUCCAUGGAUAAAUUGCAAACUGGAGCAAGGUAUGCUAAAAUUCAUUUAGCAAGUGACCAAACACAUGGUCAGACCAAAACAAUCAAUUGGCUAUGCCGACGUAUACCUAGCAAUCUAACAGAAAAGGUCCAAAAAGGAGGAGAAGAGGGAUUAACCUGGUCAGACUAAAGGAGGCACCAGCAAGAGCGGACGGAUCGAUCUGCAAGGAAAACAAGGGGCAAUCAAAGAGGAGGAGCAGCCAACGACGACCAAGGAGAGGGCACAACAUACACAUACCUGUAAGUCAACGACCACAUCAACAGAUCGACGACCCCAACAAC